GCCUGGCUGGCUCAGUUGUUAGGGCAUGUGACUCUUGAUCUCAAGGUUAUGAGUUCAAGCCCCAUGUAGGGUG
rfam:Canis lupus familiaris chromosome 13, whole genome shotgun sequence.